UUUUAAAAAUAUCACAACUAAUUUAAAACGGAGGAAGUAAUAUAAUUUGCUACAGCAAAAUGCUAUCUACUAAUUGGAAAAGAAAAAAAAAAGUUGGAGGUCCCAAUCAAGUGAAUGUAGUGCAAUAUAGAUUGUGUUCGUCUCGAUAUAGCUCUAUAAGAGUAUGAGUUAUGUGUAGGGGUGUCAAAAAACACCCGACUCGUAGGUCCAUUCGUAUCCGGUCCGACAUAACCAUGUUUAUCAACCAAUCAAUUUCGAUCCAAAAUCAACUCAACAUUGGUUAAGUUUAUUAACUUGUUCAUUUAUAUAUUACUCUUGUCACGCACACAAAUAAGCGUGUGCCGACCCGAAUUUCGAUCAAUAUCGAUAAUGACUAGAAAUGAACUGACUCAAACCUAUAGUGGUACAUUCUAACUCCACCAAAACCCGACUUGAGCUGACCCAAGUCCACACGAAUCUAUCUUGAUCCGCACAAACCCAUUUAGAAUUCGACUCAUGUCUACCCAAAAUGAUUAGAGCCGAGUUGAAAAUGUCUGACCCAUACCCAGUACGCACCUGAGUUUACGUUGGCCAAUCUAGUCCGGCCUAAGUAGUUUCGACCCAAUCCACACUCGAUCAGAAAUAAGGUUUGAUCCGGCACGAUCUAAUCCAAAUACAUUCGAUCCAAUUCAGGCCAACCCAUAUCCAAUCGAUAACUCAGAUUGACACCCCUAGUUGUGUGUUGAUCAAAUCAAGUUAAAGGGGUUCAAAUUUUGAUUUUUGAUUGAGUUGAGUUUGAGUUGCUAAAUGCGAAAUAGCUGAAUUAAGAUCUCUCAUUGAAGCUAUCCUUUAGAAAGAGAAACUACAUAGAGUUGUUAGAAAAAAAGAUAACUUAGAAUGAAAUACUUCCUCCGUUUCUAAAUAAGUGCAACAUUCCUUGUUUUCACGUUUGCCAAUGCAUUAUUUUAACCAUCACUAUCUUCUAUUAUCAAUAAGUAAAAAUUAUAAAAAGUUGAUAUUAAAAAAAAUCACAGUCAGACGAAUCUAACAAGAUCCCACAUGACUAUGUUUUUUCUAAAAUGUAAAUCACCAAAGCUAAUUAAAGUUUAAACUGUGAAUAGUAAACACUAUGCAAAUGUUGCACUUAUUUAGAAACGGAGGAAGUACUAUAUAAGAUGUGAGGUUUUCCUAAUUUAACUUUAACUUUAAAAUAGGUAUGUUAGUUUAGACUUUAGCAUCUCAUGAUUGUCACCAAAUAUUCAUUGGUUAGACGAAAUAAUUGGAUACAAAAAGACAAUAAUCAAUAGUAGAAGAUAUAUUUCAAAUAGAUAAAAGAUUUGUGUGGGCUUAUACUUGGAAAAGAGGAUUCGGGUAAAUCUUCUACAGAUUUUUCAACAUUUUUGCCGUUUUUACCUUGUCCCACUAGGAUAAGCUUGAAAUGACAUUAUCUACUACUAAUAUUGUUACAAUAGGUCCACAAGACGCAAAUGCUUAAAUCUGAAAGAUAGUGUUCAUCUCCCCUGGAAAAAGUAAUAUUCACCUAUAAAUACAACAAAUAUCUCCUCUAAUAACAUUAAGUUAUUAAGUGGGAGCAUCUUGCAAGAUAUAAUAUGAAAUUAAGAAACUCAAAAAAGUCUCCUAAAAAAACUCAAAAAAAGUGAAUUUAGGGAUGUUUUCCCCAAUUUAUUUUCAGUUCAGUUCAAUUCAUUUCAGUUCAGUUCAAUUCAAUUCAUGGCUAGUUCUCCUCGGCUUAUUUUCAGUUCAGUUCAAUUCAGUUCAAUUAAGUUCAGUUCAGUUCAGUUCAGCUCUGGAUUAUACUUUUACUCUCACAUAUCACUAUUCAUUUCAUUUCAGUUCAAUUCAGUUCAGUUCAGUUCAGCUGUUUUAUGCCGAAGAGAACAAGCCCUCAGCUCAGUUCAGUUCAGCUCAAUUCUGGACAAUACUUUUACUCUCACAUAUCACUAUUCAGUUCAUUUUAUUUCAGUUCAACUGUUUAAUAUCGAAGAGAACAAACCCUUAUUCUAAUAAGACAAAUAGACAAACAAUGGGAGAGCCGAAAACAGAAAACUUAGCAAACGGGCUCAAAAUAAUUUCAUUAAAGUCAACAGCCCAAUCUCCUCCUUUAGAGAAUUAACGACAACUUCUCCUAAAAAGGCCCAAUCAAAACAAAAUCAAUCUCUUCCACAAGCCCAAAUAAGAGAAACUUCACUAGGGUUUCACUAUAAAUUAACCCCAAAACCCUCUCUUUCUUCCGUUUCCUAUCAAAUCCUUUUUUCUCUCUCCUAAAACAUCAUCUGUUAAUUAGGGUUUCGAAGUUGCCGUCGUUUUUCAUCAUCUCACCAUGAGAGCCAAGUGGAAGAAGAAGCGUAUGAGGAGGUUGAAGAGGAAGCGUCGAAAGAUGAGACAAAGAUCUAAGUAGAAAGAAGAUCUUCAACUGUUAUGGUUUUACGUUUAGUUUUCUUCGUUGUUUUGUUUAAUCUUAGUUCGUUAAAUCGUUAGCUAUUUUCAUGGCUUUGGAAUUGUGUUAGGCUUUGAUAUUUGUGUGUAAUCGAUACAAUUUGAUAAAACAUGAAUUUUGGAGUAAUGUUACUCGAGAAGGUUUUUUUACCUGA